rnacentral:rRNA from 1 species
GCUUGUCUCAAAGAUUAAGCCAUGCAUGUCUAAGUAUAAACGACUUUAUACUGUGAAACUGCGAAUGGCUCAUUAUAUCAGUUAUAGUUUAUUUGAUGGUCCUUGCUACUUGGAUAACCGUAGUAAUUCUAGAGCUAAUACAUGCAUCAAACCCCGACUUCUGGAAGGGGUGUAUUUAUUAGAUGGAAACCAAUGCGGGGCAACCCGGAUUAUGGUGAUUCAUAAUAACUUUCAGAUCGAUCGCAAGAUCGAUGCAUCAUUCAAGUUUCUGCCCUAUCAGCUUUGGAUGGUAGGGUAUUGGCCUACCAUGGUGGUAACGGGUGACGGAGGAUUAGGGUUCGAUUCCGGAGAGGGAGCCUGAGAAACGGCUACCACAUCCAAGGAAGGCAGCAGG